rnacentral:lncRNA from 1 species
ACGAGUUCGCUAAAAUAACUACACUCGUCCAACAAUGGCCUUUCAAAUGGUAAACGCGAUUAUUCUCGUGGCACUUUUGGUGCUCAUGCAGGGCCAAAUCAACCAAGCAAUUGUGUGCCCGCCGAAUUUUUGCCAAAAUCACCCCUGCACAACUCCACUAAGUUGUCCAAUAAAUCAUACAUUAGCGGACAGCUUUUGCGGCUGUUGUCAGCGAUGUGUGACCGAGAUUUUUGAGGGAGAAAGAUGCCCGGUCAGACUGCGAGGCGUUCCGCCUUCCUGGGCUUGUUCCACUGGCCUCGAAUGCUGCAACAAUGUUUGCUCAAAACCGGAAAAUUGCUCAUAAAAAUGUUAUAAAUUGUAAUUUUUCCGAUGUCAUUGGCGGCAAAUUGCGAAAAUGUUACUUUGAAAUAAUCAACAAUAAAUAAAUUUGAACAUA